rnacentral:tRNA from 1 species
GCCCUGGUGGUCUAGUGGUUAAGACUGGGUGCUCUCACCGCUGUGGCCCGGGUUCAUCUCCCGGUGAGGGAA